rnacentral:rRNA from 1 species
UUGGAUCCAGACUUUGAUUCUGGCUCAGGACGAACGCUGGCGGCGCGCCUAACACAUGCAAGUCGAACGAGAGAGAGGGAGCUUGCUUCCUCGAUCGAGUGGCGAACGGGUGAGUAACGCGUGAGGAACCUGCCUCAAAGAGGGGGACAACAGUUGGAAACGACUGCUAAUACCGCAUAAGCCCACGGCUCGGCAUCGAGCAGAGGGAAAAGGAGCAAUCCGCUUUGAGAUGGCCUCGCGUCCGAUUAGCUAGUUGGUGAGGUAACGGCCCACCAAGGCGACGAUCGGUAGCCGGACUGAGAGGUUGAACGGCCACAUUGGGACUGAGACACGGCCCAGACUCCUACGGGAGGCAGCAGUGGGGAAUAUUGCACAAUGGGGGAAACCCUGAUGCAGCGACGCCGCGUGGAGGAAGAAGGUCUUCGGAUUGUAAACUCCUGUUGUUGAGGAAGAUAAUGACGGUACUCAACAAGGAAGUGACGGCUAACUACGUGCCAGCAGCCGCGGUAAAACGUAGGUCACAAGCGUUGUCCGGAAUUACUGGGUGUAAAGGGAGCGCAGGCGGGAGAUCAAGUUGGAAGUGAAAUCCAUGGGCUCAACCCAUGAACUGCUUUCAAAACUGAUUGUCUUGAGUAGUGCAGAGGUAGGCGGAAUUCCCGGUGUAGCGGUGGAAUGCGUAGAUAUCGGGAGGAACACCAGUGGCGAAGGCGGCCUACUGGGCACCAACUGACGCUGAGGCUCGAAAGUGUGGGUAGCAAACAGGAUUAGAUACCCUGGUAGUCCACACCGUAAACGAUGAUUACUAGGUGUUGGAGGAUUGACCCCUUCAGUGCCGCAGUUAACACAAUAAGUAAUCCACCUGGGGAGUACGACCGCAAGGUUGCAACUCAAAGGAAUUGACGGA